AUGGUAAUUAUUCACAGCUAAUAUAAAACAUCACCAAUGUACAUUCCGUGUAGUGGUUUUACUGAUUUAUGAAAUAUUUUUACAUGUAUUACCCAUAAUAAUAUGUUUGGUCAUUCAGCAUAAUUGUGUAUUUGUGUAGAGAUACUGCAAUAUCUGUGAAAAAUGUCUGCGUUCGUUUCUGAGGCGAAAUCGGAACUCCCGACAUCUUCAACACAUAUUGAUUCAUCUUACAUUUUUUUAUUCUUCUCACUUUUUUUUUAUUUAAUGCGUGGUUCGCUAUAAAAACAAUCAUGGGAUAUUUAACCUUGCAGUCACUCAAGUUAAUAUUGUGGAUGUUUUGAAUUUUUAUUUAGUAUUUUAUAAUUAACUCUAUAAUGUUGUAUAAUACUCUAUUAUAUAUGUAGGUGUAGUUAGAUAUUAUUUACCUUCAGUGAAUUCAGGAGCAAAUGCAUCCAUUAAAUGUUUAUUAAUUGUUCAUGCAACCCGGCAUAAGAAUACUUUUUAAUCAUUAUAUAACUCGAAACAGGUAUGAAAAUAACACUUCAGGUUCAGGGUCCCUAAGAGUUCACCAAAUUGUUGGCAACUAACUUAAAUAGAGGUGCUGGGUACUGUGCAUCUACUAGAAAGAUAGUUAUAGGUGAUUGGUUUCAAAUUACCACAGUAAGCAAUAAUUUAAUAAUUAUCGGUAUACCUAUGUAGUAACAGAUAAGGGAUAAGGGUUUUCACCUGUGGUGGCCUGGCCAAUCUAGGUAAGUUCCUAAAUUAUACAUAAUAGGUAAAAAACAUAUUUAAGUUCCAAUACGACGAUUUAAUAGACAUAAAUUUGGUUACAAAUAAUAUUUCUUUCACAAUACACUAUUCAUAGUAUAACUUAUAUGGUUAAACAGACAGUGUGUACCUACCUAUUGUUUAUCUUAUGUCAUCGUGCUCUCGUUUUUUUUUUUAUGAUUAUGGAUCGAUAAUAUGGAUUAUUUGUAAUUUUAACUGUUUAUUGUAAUUUCAAAAUUUGUAAUCACGCAGUUGCACCAACAGCAAAACAAAAGUUAUUUUUCAAAUAGUAAUAAUUAUAUUCUUUAAUGGAUUUUGGUAUUGCAUUUAUCCUGAAAAUGCUUAUAGAAAAAAUAUCAAUUUUGGUUCAUCAUUAGGCAGUAAUAUAAUUAUUACGAUUCUCUUAAGUUUAGUAAAUGUACUAAUAAUUUUAUAUUAUUAAUUGGAGUAAUUGGUAUACACUUAAUUUACUAGAGCUUUACUUUACUUGAAAUGUUUAUGCAAUUUCGUAUUUUUUUAUACAUUUAGGUAAACCAGUAAUCUAAUGACAUAAUCCAUAAAAAAAUGUAUUCGAUUUUGGGAUAACCCAAUUUACAAGAUAGUUGUCAAACAUAGUUAAUUAUUUUUAAUUUAUCUACAAUCAUAAAAUAAGUAUCACUAUUGUAAUUAUUAUAAUCAUUAUAAUUUUGAUUAAUUGAUUACUUUACUUUUUAUUCUUCAUAGUUACUUUUCUUACAAUAGUAUAAUAUUUCAUUCCUUUUUUAGUUAUCUAAGGUAACAAUUGUGUUCGAUUAUUAUUAUAAUAAUAUUGGAAAUGUUUAAUUCACUCUGAUUGGAGGUUUAACUAAUGUUUAACCAUCAUAUAUUGUCAUAAUGACUGUUUAUGUAAAUAUAAUCCUGCAAAUGCUUUAUUUUUAAUCAUGAUUAUUAAAAGAUUUUUGUUACCUAACUUAAGAAAACUUCGAGCAUCGGCAAUACGAUGUUUGGCAUAUAUUAAUAAACAUAGGUAAGACUAAGGGUUAGGCCAGUUAGACCAUGGUCUGACCUAAUACUUGUUUUCUAGAAUUUAAAUUUCAAAUCAAAAACCUUUUUUUGUGAUUAAAAUGUUUUUUCAUAUUUAUUAUUUGGCCUAUCCCUAUAAAACUAUCAAGUUUCACUUAUGUUAAUAAACCAAAAAUGUAUCAACCAUUUAAAAUUUACAUUUUUCAAUAGUUAGGGUAAAGGAUGACGAGCGACGAGUAGAAUUCUGUGAAACCAUUUUGGAAAAAAUAAGGUAUGAUGUAGAUUUAAUAAAACAUAUUGUGUUUAGUGACAAAUUAUCACUUUCCCUUUAUGGAUAAGUGAACUCCUCGAACUGAUCGUUAUUGGUCUGACGUCUCUGACUCCAUUACUAUAAUUCCCAUGUCACGAUACAAGCACUAACUUAAUAUUUUUUUUAGUUGAUUGAAUUUCCAAUGUUAAGGUAUAGUGAUUUAAAAUAAACCAUAUAUUUACAUACAUAUUCAAUAUCAAUUGGUACAUAGUUAAGUUUAUUAUUCAAUCUGAGUUAAUAAUUCAUUUUCAACAUUAUUAUAAUAAUAAUUGAAUAAAAGAACCCAAGUACAUGGUAUUGUGAGAAAAGUAACUGUAAAGAAAAAAGGUAUUUAUCCUAAAAUCAAAUACAUUUUUUUGUGGAGUGUGUCAUUAGAUCGCCGAUUUAAGUGUAAAAAGAUAGUUAAAAAACAAAUUAUUUAGCUCUAGUAAAUUUAAUUUAUACCAACUACUUCAAUUAAAAGUGGGUAUUAAUUUAUUAAACUUAAGAGGACUGUAGUUAAUAAGCUAGGUAACCAAAAUUGAAAUUUGACUAUCAAAUUGUCAGAUACAAUGCUCUACCAGAAACCAUUAAAAAUUAUAGUUGUUACCAUUUGAAGAAAUAAAGUUAAUUUUGCUGUUGGUUCAACUGCGUGCUUAAAAAUUUGACGUAAUAAUAAAAUUGCCAGUUAAAAAUAAUAUUCACGUAUUUUUUCGUUUUUCCGAAAUUCCAUGUUAUGGAUCCAUAAUUAUUAAAAAAACCACACGUAUAACGACAGAAGAUAGGUAUACCUAUGUAUAAGUGUAUAACCAUAUUAUUCACUAUUCUGUGAUAGAAAUAUAUAGAAUAGAGAUUACAUUACUUCACAUACACUUCCUGAAUAUUGUAUACCUACUAGUAAUAGUAUACUGCUAUAAUAGUAAUAAUAAUAUACUCAAGAUACAUUUCAGAUUUAAAAUUAUUUUAUAUUCCAAUCGUCUUCAAAAACAAUAAAAAAAACGUUUUAUGGACAGAUUACAAAUCGUACAAGGUAUAUUAGUACUUUCUUGAUCAUUUCCUCUUAGAAAUUUUAAUUGAUUAAAUCUCGAAACUCAAAAGUCGGUUUAUUAAUCUGUUAAUUUUUUCGACCAUAGUAAUAUUAGUGUUAACUGUUAAGUAAACUUGAUGAUUGAUAUUUUGGCCACAUUUCAGUGUUCAUAUUCAAGGAAUUCAAUAAUUAUUCUAACAGCUUUUAGCUUACAUGGAUAUUGCCCAAAACAGCAAAAGGCUUGUUAUGAAUCAUGAUGUAAAUAAAUUAACAUAUCAUCUGUUUUGUGGAACUUAACUGUGUAAACUAUUUUAUCAUUAUGUUGGAACUUACCACGAACAAUUUUAAAUACCUUUAGAUCGAAACGUUGACUUCCUUGUAAAAUCUUACCAAACCUUUAUUAUAGUGAACUCCACUGUAAUUAGGUUAGGUAUCUAAUUACAGCGGUCUAACGGAUCAGUGGAAGAAUGGUACAUGUACGUAUUUACUACUAAGAAAUGUAGACAAGACAUAAAUAAUAUAAGAAAAAAACUAAUACAAUGAAAUUCUUAUACGGACAAAUGAUAAAUAAUAUUAGGAAUCUAGUUUAAAAAAUGUAUACCCGGGGGCGUAUUUAAGGGGGAUAAUGGGCCAGUGACAUUCACCUUAAUUAUAUACUUUAUUACAUACAUAGUUUGUAAAAGGUAACUGUGAGAAACCGAGAACCCUCUAUUAUAAAUUUCUAAAUACGCUCCUGUGUACUCCUUUAGCAAAAAGUCCAGCUCCCCAAUAGUUAAUU